rnacentral:sRNA from 1 species
ACUUUUACAAGAAACGGGGUGUCGGGUGGACAAUGAUUAACUAAUCUAUGGCUUUUAAUCGGAAACGAAUAUUUUUCCGCUUUCACUACCAUAGGAUUAGUCUGUUCAUUUUCCAUUCGCACAUUAUAUAUGUGUGCUUUUUAGGCAUGACUAAUCCUUCUAAACUACUGUUUAGGAGGAUUUUUUG